rnacentral:rRNA from 1 species
AUGUGCCUCUCCGGCCACCGCGACCACCAUGUUCUCCAGAUACGGCGGUCGUCGUACAAGAACAGCGUGGUGAUCCGGGUGGCGGAGCUGGAGGAGGUUGCGGACAUGUCCCUGGUGCAGCCAUACGUGGUCAACCACGAGAGGGUGGUGUACCUCAACCCGAGGCCGCAGGCGCCGCAGCACGCCAUCAUGUGCUUCAGCCCCGCCGGCGCAUGCCUGAUGUGCGGCCGGAAACUCGUCGACGAAAUCUCCCGUUUCUGCUCCCUUGGCUGCAAGCUUGAAGGAAUGGUGUCUAAUCCCAACUUGACAUUCAUUCUUGAUCCGGAAUGCAAGUUGGAAUACUCAGACUCAUACUCAACCGGAGAAGAAGAUGACGGCAGCCAUCUGCCAGGGCCUAGCAACUUUCAGCCAAUUGGAGGGACUAGCUACCGCCGCCAGCCAAGGAAGGGCGUCUGUGGCCCACCUCAACGGGCGCCCUUCUACUGA